AAGCACCAUUCCUCCUCCUCCCCUCCCCUGAGCUCGAAUCAAGACAACCCCACCACCCUCCCCAUCACCGGUGAGACCCUCGCUACCCCUAGGAUCGUCCAGAGCCAAAUUAAGUUAGUCCCCAAGCUUCACCAGCUCCGCACAAUCACCGUGCACCCCACCCCGACCCGGAUCACCGACCACAAUCCCCGCCGACGACCUCACCUCCGCAGUGGCGAUUCGCCCCACCGUGGCCAACCUUCCCCGGUCCACCUCCGAUCAAAUUAGACCCACCCCUAUGCUGGCAAGCUGCCACCAUGCUAAUGCACCCACCCUAUGCCCUGAAACCGAGACGCCAGCGGAGAACCACCGGUGAGCCGUCAUGGCGGUUGGUCCUCCCCCGCCCCGACCAGUUCACCCCCCCUGUCCGAGCCGUAACAUCGUCCCCCCACCCCCUCUGACGUGCGGGCCCAGCCUGUCCUGCCAUCACCCCGCUGUCCCCUCCCCAUGGGCCUACAGGGUCGCUCGCGCGCGCUGCGCUGCUGGGCCAGAAUCCAGCCCCGAGCCCACUUAAGAAGAAAUUUCUUUUCUUUUUCUAUUUCCUAUCCUUUUCAUAUAUAAGAAUACUUAUGUGCACAAAAUACAAUUAGUGGUAAAACGCACUUUAUAAGUCACAUAAAAUGGUUAACACGAUAUUAUAUUACCUCUAAAAAUAUCAUUGUUUGGUGUAUUGUUUCUUAAUUGUUUUGCUAGACGAAGCAGUGGUUUAAUUACAUCCCGGAAACCCUAGCUCCAAAAGAAGGUCAGGAACCUGACCUCCCAGAAAUAGAACCUUCGUAUCAUGAGAACUUCGACGAAGGCAAGUUCAUUCUACCCUUGAUGCAUAUAUUACCUAUUAUUUUCCGUCACAACCCAAACUGGAAAAAGUGAAUGGAUUAAUGCAUAUGUGAGAUGUGUAUAAACUUGCAUUAAAUAGCCAGCAUAUUUUCAAAGAAAAUGUGGGAUACAGGUUCUGCAUUAAAAAAAGAUAUUUUACCAAACCAAGGUAUGAUGAAGGGUUAUCACCCUUAUCACCUUCAGCAGGAUGAUUGGGACUCCCUGGUGUGGGAGGACCAUCAAAGGAGUUGGCUCAGCCCGGUUAGGUGUGAGCAUGAAGGAUUGUCCUGACUCGUAUAAAGAUCGUUUGUCAUUCUUCACUGCCUAUUGGUACUUGAUUUCAAUCCUCUGAAGGUAUCAAAAAUCAAGGUAACACAUGUUAAAUAUAAAGACCUUUGUCCUGUGUUAUAACACUUCUUCGAAGUGUUAAAACAAAGGACGAAGGGUCUUAAAGAGAAGCAUAAUGAAAUAAUAUGAAAAAUGACAAAGUGAGUCUCUUUAUGAAACUUAUCUCAUAUGUCUUAGCAUUUUAUUUCAUCUCCACUAAUGUUAAACAAGUUUACAAGCACACCUUGGGCUCCUUAAUACGGGAUGGCAUGAAGGUCCUUCGAAGGCUAAGCAGCAUGAAGUUAUGGCUCUUGAAAAAGGUCUUGGCCUUCAUCGUAUGAGAGCUUCUCUGCUGCCUAGCAUUCCAAAGGUACCGACUUUGGUUCACACCUUCGCUACUUGCGCGUAUAGGCGAAGCUUCUUUAUAUUUUGCUUCGGCCAAAGGCCAGCUUCGUCCAUCAAUAGAAGAGCACCUGAAACACACUUGCUUAUGCCGAAAUGAAGGUUAAAUGUGGACCUUCGGCAUAAUAGGCCUCCAACAGUAGCCCCUUGCAAAAUGAGUUUGUUCUUCAUAAUGAUCUUAGAUCGCAAAAUAGAAGAAAUUAGGAGGCCUUGUGUCGAAGGUCCAAAAAACACCUUCCCGAAGCUCGUUAUGAAUACCCUGACCAGUAGGGCCUAAAUCUCAAUGAGAGCAAUAGUUAAGUUCAAAAAAUCUACGGGUAUAAAAGGAAGUGACACCCAGCGGUGUUAGUACGACAUUUGUUGCUUUUGUGUCUGCUGUUGUUAAAGCCUGCUUUGCCUUUGAAGCUUACUUUGAUCGCUUUUUUCCACCUCCAAACUAGCCUUAGCCAGUUGAAAGGUACACUUUUUCAAUAGAAAUGGCAGGGGAGUAUCUUGGUGCUGGUAUGCCCUUGGCACCUUCAUCAAGCGUCCAAGAGACAAGGGUUGAGAACUUGGCUACAACAAUGGAGGUUGCCGCCUCUCAGGCCAAAGUCGGCGUUGUGAAUCCAUCUGAGGAUAGUGAUGACAUUGAUAUUGGAGAAGACAACACUACCAUCGUCCUACAAAGCCAAGUCACGUGAACUUUGGCAAAUCAAAAAUCAAAUGAGGACACAUUGAGGUACUUAACCACUUUGGCUAUAUUGACAAUGUUGAUUGGGUGCGGCUAGGAGGUGAUGAUUUAGUGCCAAAGCCAAAAGAGGACAAGGUUAUCGUGCUUCGAAGUUUUCUGAAGGCUAGGGUUAGAUUUCCUUUGCAUAAGACAGUAGUUGUAGUUUUGAAAAGGUUUAACAUAUACCUUCACCAGCUUACUUCAAAUGCCAUAGUGUGUUUAGGAAUUUUUAUUUCAGUUGUGUGGAGUCCAGGUGUUGAGCUUGA